rnacentral:misc_RNA from 1 species
UCCGGUUUGUCACCGGCAGUCUCGCAUGAGUCCCCAACUGAAUGCUGGCAACAUGCGACGGGGGUUGCGCUCGUUGCGGGACUUAACCCAACAUCUCACGACACGAGCUGACGACAGCCAUGCACCACCUGUGAUCCUGCCCCGAAGGGAAGCCCUGUUUCCAGGGAUGUCAGGAACAUGUCAAGCCCAGGUAAGGUUCUUCGCGUUGCCUCGAAUUAAGCCACAUGCUCCGCCGCUUGUGUGGGUCCCCGUCAAUUCCUUUGAGUUUUAGCCUUGCGGCCGUACUCCCCAGGCGGGGUGCUUAAUGCGUUAGCUGCGGCACGGAAGGCGUCGAUAGCCUCCCACACCUAGCACCCAUCGUUUACGGCGUGGACUAC